rnacentral:tRNA from 1 species
GAGAUAAAAAUUCAAGAAAAGGCUUCUAACCUAUUUCUGUAGCAGUGAAAUUCUGUUAUUAUCUCG